rnacentral:rRNA from 1 species
UGGUGGAGUGAUUUGUCUGGUUAAUUCCGUUAACGAACGAGACCUCAGCCUACUAGUUAAAGAUGCUUACGUUUGUAAGCAUCUAUUACAUAGAGGGACUAUCGGUGUUUAUCCGAGGGAAGUAUGAGGCAAUAACA